UACGUAGGUGGCGCGCGUUGUCCGGCUUUACUGUGCGUAAAGAGCGCGCAGGCGGUCGUGCAAGUCGCGUGUGAAAGCCCCCGGCUCAACUGGGGAGGGUCACGCGAUACUGCUCGACUCGAAGGCAGGAGAGGGAAGUGGAAUUCCCGGUGUAGUGGUGAAAUGCGUAGAUAUCGGGAGGAACACCAGUGGCGAAGGCGACUUCCUGGCCUGUUCUUGACGCUGAGGCGCGAAAGCUAGGGGAGCAAACGGG
rnacentral:rRNA from 1 species